GCCUUCGUGGUGUAAUGGUCAGCACACUGAGCCGGUAUUUCAGAGGUAUUCCGUGGUUCGAUUCCCGGCGAAGGAA
rnacentral:tRNA from 1 species